GUAUAUCUCUCAAUCUACCUGUCUUCUAAAUUUUUUCUUAGAAACGUUUUCUAGUUUCUUGUAUAAUGUUUAUGGUGUUUGUAGUCAAGAGGUUUCCAAGACAAAUUUUGAUAUGCUGCACAAAUUUUUAUUAUCAUUCAGUGUUGCAGUGUUUCCAGACCUUUCAUUUUUCUUCCAUCUUAUCUCAAGGCUGAAAGAAGUUUAUCAUAUUAUUAGACAACAGAGCAGAACAAAACAAUACAUCAAGCCUCAGCACUUGGUAUUGCUUUGCAGAGAAAACCAGGUAGGACAAAGAAAGAAAAACAGAAUGCAGAAAGGGAAAAAUAUUUGGCAUUUUCUGAGACCAACUAGUUAUUCUCAAUUUGGCUAGCGUAAAGAAUUCCUGAAAGAGAGGAGGAGCAACAGUGAGUGGUCUACCUGGAAACCUCAUCAUAGUUAUAAAAAGAGAAGGCAGGUACAUUGGGAAUAAAGGAGGAGACUGCAGUGGUGAAGAAUUAGG
ensembl:lincRNA